GAGCUGAAACAACUAAUCGAUUUAAUCGAUUAUAAUCGAUUAUUAAAAUAGUUAACAACUUUUUUAGUCAUCGAUUAGUUGUUUAAUAAUCAUAUUUUACCGCAUAAAGUCUAUUUUUUACCACAAUCUGACAUCGGUUACAAUCUGUUAAAUUUGCCGCCAGUGUGUGGCAGUAAUGAGCCACUGAUCUACCAGUGGGGCCGUAGAAGAAGAAAUGAGCCAAUAAGUGCCCUCGGUUUUCAUGACGUAUCACGUUACUGACGCGCAUCUUGCUGUGAGAGAUGGCGGAUCAACAACAAAUACGGAAGAAAAAUAGAAGCGACAAAACAAGAGAAACCCCGGACAAAAACCUCACGAGUAUGGGAGCACUUCACUAGAUGCCUUGAAAAGACCGGUGACCUACAAAAUAUGCAAAAACCAUGGCACGACGGAAGCACGACGUCCCAAAGUGAACAUUUGAGACGAAAACGUGGGGGCUGAUGCAGCAGAGGAAUGUCCGAAAAAAACAAGCAGCGAUGGAGAACUACAUGGGGAACAAGACACUCACCCCCAGCAAUGCAUACCACUUACAAACUCUAUUCCAGAUUCUACAUUAUUUUUUAUGGAAUUUACCUCUUAUAUUUUGAUGCCAAAAAAUUAUUCUGGACUGAUAUUUUGCACUGUUUAGCUCAUUUUACACUGCUGACUGUGGUCAUGUGCAAUAAAAUAGAUUGCAGUCAACUGCACAA